AGUAUCUGUCCCGCUGGUGGUUCACCCCGACGGGGUGAGGCAAGAGGGAACCCGGCGCGCAUCCGGGACUGCCCGCCACGGCGAGUGGGAUCGGACUCCGCACACGUACUGGAAUCCCCCGAGAGACCCCCGGGGAGCGACGCUCAGGAGACCGACCGCACGCCCGGGGACCUGCCACCGGCGCGCACCGGAC
rnacentral:ncRNA from 2 species